UUAGAAGUAGAGCUAUGAGGCUAGUUGAGCUGGCCCGCUGAUUGGUUAUAUGGUCUUGUGCUUCCUUUUAACUUCUCUGGGCUUCCACUUCUCCCUCGGCAAAACACACAAGACCACGCCUUGCAGCUGCACCGCGCAGAUGCCUUCCGAGCUGUCCUAAAAGCUGGGAUCUCUCCGGCAGUGCAGGGUUCAGGAAGAAUGUCAAGAACAGGUGAAGGACCCACCCAGGCUCAGUUCAGUGGGAAAACGUUCUCAACAGCUUUGAUGUCCCUGAGCUACAUGCAGGUGGCGUUGGUACCUGGCUGGCUGCGGCAGAUCCAGAGCAGAAACCACAUCGGUGGGAGCCAGGAGACUGAAGAGCUUCCCUUCCUACUGCAGUCCUGUUACCUGGGGUUGGCCGGUCUGCAUAGUGUGGAGUCAGCACCAGCUGAGGAUGUACACAUCGGUUGACAUUGGCCAGUGCUGCUGCUUCUGCCUCUACCCAAGUGGUCAUUGUUGGGAGGGAGGUCGUUGGGCUCCAGAGGGCAGGUCGAAUGUUGAAACUACCUGAAGUUCAGACCAGCUCCCAAACUGAGCCUUCGGAAGAAAGGCCUUUUGUUAGGGGAGCCUCUGGAGUGGGAAGAGAGGGCAGUCUCCCUCCCCGAAUAGGAAGUCUGCUGGUGGUGAUAUCUAAUGAAGACUUUUAUGAUAGAAAUGUAAUUGUUAAAAAAAAAUUUUUUUUUUACAUCGGUCUCAGAGCUUUCAAUCCAAGAGCUCGAUCAUUCCCUCAUUCAUGCCCUAAAUAAGCCCUAAUUAAUCUCGAGGCUGGAAGAAAGGAGGCUAGAUUGCAGCUUUCUCUGUAAGGACACACUUCAUAUUUUGGGGGAGUUUGAAGAGGCUCUCAAGCACUUCCCUCAGUGGUAUUUUAUCAGCGGCUCAGAGCGGCUUCAUUAGGCUGCUGAAGUUGCUAAUUGCAUUACCAUAUUUUUAAGCCUCAUAGGUGCGGGCCAGGCUUGACAUCUUCCAAUGUGCCCAACCGUUUGCCAGCUUGGCAUGUCAGAGACCCCUCGCACAGUUUGCCUCAGGUGCAAGGAAGGCGACCAGCACCAGUGUCUCAGGGGCCUGCUGGCCACCUGCUGGGAGGGAAGCCACUACCAGGUCUCAUUCACUUGGCAGAGAGAAUGUGGCUACAGAAUCAAUGUCGUGGUGAGGCUAUAACUCCAGCAUUCAAGAGACUAAAGCAAGGGCUGAAAGAUGGCUCCAUAAGUAAAGCCUCUGCCUCUGUCCCCAAAGCCACAUGGUAGGAAAGAAUUAAAGGGGGGAAAAAAAGCAUAGCUUUAAAAGUUAAUGUCGUCCCAUGGAGUAGAAAAAAAAAAAAAACCUUCAAUACCCUCGCCAAGGAGGGAAAAACAAAAUGAGCCCAUGUGUGCACGCAUGCAUUCUUGUGGGUAGAUAUAAACAUAUGUGCACACGUUUAUUUACAUAGACAUGAAUAUCUAUAUAUGUGUGUUUGGACAGAUAUAAAAAUAUAGGCAUAUAUAUGAUAACUGUGCAUAUGUGUGUAGGUAGAUGAAAUACAUAUACAUAUAUAUGACUGUAUCUAGGUAGAUGUAAAUAUAUGUGCAUAUAUAAAUACUAUAUGUUUACAUAGAUAUAAAUACAUGCAUAUAUAUGGAUAUCUAUAUAUUGCAUAUAUAUGGAUAUCUAUAUAUUGCAUAACUAUGAAUGUAGAUAUAUGAGUAUAAAUGCAUGUAUAUAUUUAUAUAGACUUGAAUAUAUGCAGAUUCUGUAUUAGUUACUUCUCU
rnacentral:lncRNA from 1 species